GCCAUCCACUUUGGCAACGUCAAAGCAAUCUCUGAGCUUACGCUAAGGAUUCGACCACUCUGGGAGAUGCUGAUUCUGCAGAGCGCAAAGGACGAAGCAGUAGUUGUCUUGCAGGAGCUGGCCAACUCGAGACUCCUACCUGACUCCUAUCAUGUUGGCUUGAGGACUCUCGAGCUGCCGAGUUGCCAUCGGCGCACCUCCUUCAUGAAUCUACGGGACGGAGCUAUGAGGGGUGAAUAAGCAAAUACUUACGCGCUCAGUUUCCCAGAUGGGUCGCAACCAGGGGUGAAACACCCAACCUUGGGCCUGCUCUAUGGUCCUGUCUCAGGGUCGUAUCCCGGAAGCUGUUGAAUGGGGGCUGAAAGCACCUGCUACGACACAACUGUUGAGACGGCUAAAACCAUGCCAUGUGGGGCCUUCUGGGAAUUAGAAAUAAUCUACGGAUGUACUUGGUUGUGUUCGUAUCACACAAAAUUCUGAGCUGGGUAGAAAUCUCUCACUUUUUUGUUUGCAAAUAAUA
rnacentral:misc_RNA from 1 species